GGACAAUGGUGAAAAAUAACAAACAAAACAAACCAUCUUUUGGGACUGAUUGGUGCGCUUUGUGUGCCAUGCUGUAAAAAUCGGCAAUUCUGGUGUCC
rfam:Triticum aestivum genome assembly, contig: Triticum_aestivum_CS42_TGACv1_scaffold_485580_6AS